rnacentral:lncRNA from 1 species
UCGGUGGUCCACUGUCUCCAAAUAAAGCUUGCAGAAGCCAUCAGGAUUGGACAAAACCUGUCAAAAGUGGCUAGAUGUUGGCAGCAGCACAUUUACGUCGACAGUAGGGCUGCUUUCUUUGCAUAUAACUGGUAAAAGCCGUCUGUACCUCAACACAAGUCAAGUGAAACAGUGCUGUAUUUCCUUGAAACACCCUAUCUGUCGCGAAGAGAAAUUUCCGCCAAAGUGUUAAAACUAGUCCCAGCACUUGUGGCAGAUUGGGCCAUUUCCAAAGGAGUGACAUUUUUGCUACAUUUGACAGUGUUGACUUACUGACAUUUGACUAUCAUGCACAGCUGAAGCAAUGAAUUGGGGCAGUCCAACUGGAGAGGUAAGGCAAAGUACAAGCUCCAAGAAAAUGAUGUUCAGUGUGAACAUCUUGCAAGCAGAAGCAACGAGCCAGCACAACCAUCAUCCUCUGGCUUACGCACCAUCCACACAAAUGGCUGCAAGGUCUGGCAACCAUGCAAGCGAAACUGGUUCGUCAUUGGGUUCAGCCACAUCAAUACUGGAGGCCUUUUCAAGUCGCUCGCUCGAAGGUUCUUUCCAAACUUGGCAAGAAUAACACCAGUGAAUGCAGCUAGUUCUACUGUCUCCGUGAAGAAAUAAAUAUCUGAACUUUA